rnacentral:rRNA from 1 species
CUACGGGCGGCUCCAGUGGGGAAUAUUGCACAAUGAGCGAAAGCUUGAUGCAGCCAUACCGCGUGUGUGAAGAAGGCCCGAGGGUUGUAAAGCACUUUCAAUUGGGAGGAAGGUUAAGUAGUUAAUACCUGCUUAAUUUGACGUUACCUUUAGAAGAAGCACCGGCUAACUCUGUGCCAGCAGCCGCGGUAAUACAGAGGGUGCAAGCGUUAUUCGGAAUUACUGGGCGUAAAGCGCGCGUAGGCGGAUUAUUAAGUCAGUUGUGAAAGCCCUGGGCUCAACCUGGGAACUGCAUCUGAUACUGGUAGUCUAGAGUUUAAGAGAGGGAAGUGGAAUUCCAGGUGUAGCAGUGAAAUGCGUAGAUAUCUGGAGGAACAUCAGUGGCGAAGGCGACUUCCUGGCUUAAAACUGACGCUGAGGUGCGAAAGCGUGGGUAGCGAACGGGAUUAGAUACCCUGGUAGUC